rnacentral:rRNA from 1 species
UACGUAGGGUGCAAGCGUUAAUCGGAAUUACUGGGCGUAAAGCGUGCGCAGGCGGCUUUGCAAGACAGAUGUGAAAUCCCCGGGCUCAACCUGGGAACUGCAUUUGUGACUGCAUGGCUAGAGUACGGUAGAGGGGGAUGGAAUUCCGCGUGUAGCAGUGAAAUGCGUAGAUAUGCGGAGGAACACCGAUGGCGAAGGCGGCAUCCUGGACCAACACUGACGCUGAGGAGCGAAAGCCAGGGGAGCGAACGGG